rnacentral:rRNA from 1 species
AACGAACGCUGGCGGCAGGCUUAACACAUGCAAGUCGAACGCCCCGCAAGGGGAGUGGCAGACGGGUGAGUAACGCGUGGGAAUCUACCUAGUUCUACGGAACAACAGUUGGAAACGACUGCUAAUACCGUAUACGCCCUAUGGGGGAAAGAUUUAUCGGCAUUAGAUGAGACCGCGUAAGAUUAGCUAGUUGGUGGGGUAAUGGCCUACCAAGGCGACGAUCUUUAGCUGGUCUGAGAGGAUGAUCAGCCACACUGGGACUGAGACACGGCCCAGACUCCUACGGGAGGCAGCAGUGGGGAAUAUUGGACAAUGGGCGCAAGCCUGAUCCAGCCAUGCCGCGUGAGUGAUGAAGGCCUUAGGCUUGUAAAGCUCUUUCAGUGGGGAAGAUAAUGACGGUACCCACAGAAGAAGCUCCGGCUAACUUCGUGCCAGCCGCCGCGGUAAGAC